rnacentral:lncRNA from 1 species
UUAAGCCAAGAAAAUAUUCUUGUAUCACAAGUCUGUGGACUCAACUCAGCCACAAGAAAUCACAUAAAGAGAAAUAAGCAUAAACUAUUUUGAAAAAAGAAUCCUACUGGACAAAUAUAUUUAUGAAGAGAGAAUCAUCAAAUUCAGUGAUGUUUCACCAGAAGUUUCUAUCAAUAUAUGGCUUAGAGAAGCCAAAUCAAAGGCCACAAAAACCUCUGAUUUUGGAUGAAAAAAUGCCAGACAGAGAAUUCUCACAAGAACCUUCAAAUAGUGAUGUAGACACUGAAUGGCUUUUUAGCACUAACUUGCCUUUUCCACUGAACCUUCAAGAUGCCAAGAAUUUCCUCUGUGGGCUAGAGAGGAAUCUCUAGAUACAUGAGCUGGAGAUAAAUAACUUUCCUAUGAGCAGGAUCAAAUUUGAAAUGUAAGUGAUCA